ACUGUGAAACCAAAAGAUCGAAUGAGGAGAUUCAUCGUCAGCAUUUAUAGUAUUAAUGCAAAUUAUGAUGUGACUAUACAAUCCUUGUGGUUAUUAUGAUUACACUUGUUUGUAUUAUUUUUACUAUUUAUGUCGGCGUGCACUUCUCCUCUAGUAGAACGUUGCGACCUGUUAAAUAUUUAUCUAUGAUCUAUAUGGUAGACUUAUGUAUUAUUUUUAAUACGUAAGGCCUGUGGUAAUCUGAUGAACUGUUUGACAGUAUAUAAAAUGGUAUUGUGCCGCAGUAUAAUAUGCGUUAAGUCUAGGCACAAGUCAGAUUAUUUUUAAACAGUACGGAUACAUGCCGUCGUUUGAGAUAAUCAACUGUUAGUGUCAAGAUCUUUAACUGGCUUAUUUACCAGUCAGCGAUGCUACUGCUUUGGGUACUUACAGG
rnacentral:rRNA from 1 species